rnacentral:lncRNA from 1 species
CGUUAGCAUCUGUUGGGGGAAUUGGUAUUAUUUUAAAAUAAAAUAAAUAAAAUAUCUGUUAAAAUAAUACCAAUUCUUUUAACAGAUGUUAACGUUCUUUUAUUCUGUAUUCUUAAGAGAAUUCCGUUCUUCACUGUAUGCACUGAUGAGGGACCAGGUUUGGGUCCGAAAACGUUUUGCAAAAUAAAUGAUUACUUGUGAAUGGUGCUGUUUUGUCAAUUAUCCUUCACAUUGUUGAAGAGGAACCUAUAAAAGAAAAUGCAUGUCUGUUCUAGGCUAACCGAUGGAUACAAACUCUCAUAAUUAUAUGUUGUGAAAGUGUCUUGUUCAUAUAAAUCUAGCUGUCAGAGUUUCAGCAGAAUGUCCGUCAUAGAGGUUGUAGAGUAAUUAUUCAUUCAGUCUUGUGCUAGUAUGUCUAUACACCACUUGGCUAAGGCAUGCUCUUGGCCAUAGAUAGGUGCACUGUUCUUCUCAAGUAUCAGGUGGGUGGCAAUGGAGUUCUUAUGGGUCCUGGAUCCCAAGUGCCUCGGGCUUGGAGGUGCUUUUUGCGGCAGUUCCGGGACAGGCCUCGGGGCUGCUGGACCCACCCGUCAUCUGCCUCGGAUCGUUCAGGGGGGCGUGCUCGGGGAGAGAUCUAGGUGGUGCCAUGGUGCUAGAAAUGGCACAGUGUGGCGCUUGUGUGUCAAAGAACUUUUGUCGCAUUAGGACUUC